rnacentral:rRNA from 1 species
UAAUUCAACGGCCGCGGUAUCCUAACCGUGCAAAGGUAGCAUAAUCAUUUGCCCAUUAAUUGUGGGCUAGAAUGAAAGGAUUAACGAAAUAAAGACUGUCUCUGCAAGACACCUAAAAAUUACCCUCUAACCGAAGAGCGUUAGAUAUAAUCGAAGGACAAGAAGACCCUAUAGAGCUUAAUUUAAACAAAUGUAAAAAAUUUACUAAAAUUCGGUUGGGGCGACCGAGGAAAUGAUUAUCAUCCUCAGAUAAAAGAUAAAUAAAUCUAACUAAUGACCCUUAACUAAGAUCACUAAAACAAGCUACCUUAGGGAUAACAGGCUAAUCUCACUAGAGAGUCCUUAUUAAUAGUGAGGUUUGGCACCUCGAUGUUGGCUUAGGGAAUCUAUGUGGCGCAAAAGCCACAUAAAGAUGGUUUGUUCAACCAAUAACACCCUACAUGAGCUGAGUUCAGACCGGCGUAAGCCAGGUUAGUUUCUAUCCUCGACUGCACUAUCUAUUUAUAGUACGAAAGGACCUAAAUUAGAGUAAUAAUUAUAUGAAAAGAGUAAAUAUAAAAUAAUAUAAACAUAAAUAAUCAUAAACUAUG